rnacentral:tRNA from 1 species
GCGGGAGUAGUUCAGCGGUAGAAUGUCUGCUUCCCAAGCAGAAGGUCGCGGGUUCAAGUCCCGUCUCCCGCU